CAUUUGUAUGAAAGAAAAGAAAGUUAGCACUCUCUUAGACAAGAACAGAAGAGGUCUGUGGGCUUCACAACAUGCAGACCAUUAAGGUAAUGCCACCUACUUCACGGCUUUUUCCACUUCUAUUU